rnacentral:misc_RNA from 1 species
AAAUGCGAUAAGUAAUGUGAAUUGCAGAAUUCAGUGAAUCAUCGAAUCUUUGAACGCACAUUGCGCCCGCCAGCACUCUGACGGGCAUGCCUGUUCGAGCGUCAUUUCAACCCUCAGAACCCCUUGCGGGAUCUGGCGUUGGGGAUUGGCAUCCAGCCAGCCCCGAAAUCUAGUGGCGGUCCCUCCGCGACCUCCCCUGUGCAGUAGCGAUACCUCGCAGCGGGACAGCGGUCUGACCACGCCGUAAAACCCCCAACUUCUCAAGGUUGACCUCGAAUCAGGUAGGAAUACCCGCUGAACUUAAGC